rnacentral:rRNA from 1 species
GGCGUGCCUAAUACAUGCAAGUCGAACGCUUCUUUUUCCACCGGAGCUUGCUCCACCGGAAAAAGAGGAGUGGCGAACGGGUGAGUAACACGUGGGUAACCUGCCCAUCAGAAGGGGAUAACACUUGGAAACAGGUGCUAAUACCGUAUAACAAUCAAAACCGCAUGGUUUUGAUUUGAAAGGCGCUUUCGGGUGUCGCUGAUGGAUGGACCCGCGGUGCAUUAGCUAGUUGGUGAGGUAACGGCUCACCAAGGCCACGAUGCAUAGCCGACCUGAGAGGGUGAUCGGCCACAUUGGGACUGAGACACGGCCCAAACUCCUACGGGAGGCAGCAGUAGGGAAUCUUCGGCAAUGGACGAAAGUCUGACCGAGCAACGCCGCGUGAGUGAAGAAGGUUUUCGGAUCGUAAAACUCUGUUGUUAGAGAAGAACAAGGAUGAGAGUAACUGUUCAUCCCUUGACGGUAUCUAACCAGAAAGCCACGGCUAACUACGUGCCAGCAGCCGCGGUAAUACGUAGGUGGCAAGCGUUGUCCGGAUUUAUUGGGCGUAAAGCGAGCGCAGGCGGUUUCUUAAGUCUGAUGUGAAAGCCCCCGGCUCAACCGGGGAGGGUCAUUGGAAACUGGGAGACUUGAGUGCAGAAGAGGAGAGUGGAAUUCCAUGUGUAGCGGUGAAAUGCGUAGAUAUAUGGAGGAACACCAGUGGCGAAGGCGGCUCUCUGGUCUGUAACUGACGCUGAGG